UAUAUACUAAAUCACAAGUCACUCAACUAAUCAUAUUUUGCCACAUAUUUAAUGUUUAAGUUUUUAAGAAAAUCAAUUAUUAAAAAGAAAAAAAUGAAACGAAUCAAUUUAUUUCUUUUCUACGUAAAAUAAAAAAAUAAUGGUUUCAACUGCCUUAACCACUGCAAGCACGAUCUCCACCUCCUCUAUUACAUCAACUAUAAAUGAACUCUCAAAUCACUUCGAUAACAAAUCUGUUUAUAAAAUUAUUCCAAACUGCUUAAUUUCUUCCACAAAGUAACCUUUACUUUUAUCUUUCAUAUAAUUCCUUUUCCUCAUAAAAGCGUUUUGAAGUUGCAGACACAAUCGAUAUCGUGGACAAAAUGAUUUUGAAAAGGAUGAAGCGAAUUGAUAGAUGGCUUUCAGAAAUUGGCAGGUGUACAUUGAUUGAAACCGCAGAAGAGUGAAAUGAUGGUGAAGAAGAAUCUUCAAACUUACAAUGAGAUUGUCUACUUAAUAAUUAAAGUCGACGAUGGUUAAAGAAGAAUGAAACAGAAGGAGACUCCAACAAACUAGAGACUCUCAACCAACACGUUGCUCAUAUUUUGAUUGCUAGGUCAGAUUUAUAACAUUGUAUUCGAAGGGGUAUAUAACAAAACCUUUUAUCAAUAAUUUUUCUUCUCUUUAAUAAUUAUGGCUGAAAAAUGUUUUUUGCUUGAAAAUUUAUUAAAUCUCGAAUUGGUACAA